GGGCCCGCACAAGCGGAGGAACAUGUGGUUUAAUUCGAUGAUACGCGAGGAACCUUACCCGGGCUUGAAUUGCAACCGAAUGGGUCAGAGACGGCCCAGCCGCAAGGCGGUUGUGAAGGUGCUGCAUGGUUGUCGUCAGCUCGUGCCGUGAGGUGUCGGCUUAAGUGCCAUAACGAGCGCAACCCUUAUCUUCAGUUACCAGCGGGCAAAGCCGGGGACUCUGGAGAGACUGCCGUCGUAAGAUGUGAGGAAGGUGGGGAUGACGUCAAAUCAGCACGGCCCUUACGUCCGGGGCUACACACGUGUUACAAUGGGGGGUACAGAAGGCAGCUACCGCGCGAGCGGCGGCUAAUCCCGAAAGCCUCUCUCAGUUCGGACUGGAGUCUGCAACCCGACUCCACGAAGCUGGAUUCGCUAGUAAUCGCGCAUCAGCCAUGGCGCGGUGAAUACGUUCCCGGGCCUU
rnacentral:rRNA from 1 species